UGCAUCGAUGAAGAACGCAGCGAAAUGCGAUACGUAAUGUGAAUUGCAAAUUCAGUGAAUCAUCGAGUCUUUGAACGCACAUUGCGCCCCCUGGUAUUCCGGGGGGCAUGCCUGUCCGAGCGUCAUUGCUGCCCUCAAGCCCGGCUUGUGUGUUGGGCCCCGUCCUCCGAUUCCGGGGGACGGGCCCGAAAGGCAGCGGCGGCACCGCGUCCGGUCCUCGAGCGUAUGGGGCUUUGUCACCCGCUCUGUAGGCCCGGCCGGCGCUUGCCGAUCAACCCAAAUUUUUAUCCAGGUUGACCUCGGAUCAGGUAGGGAUACCCGCUGAACUUAAGCAUAUCAAUAG
rnacentral:rRNA from 1 species